rnacentral:pre_miRNA from 1 species
GGGUGAUGGUGAUGGUGAUGAUAAUGGUGAUGAUGAUGGUGGUGGUAAUGAUGAUGAUGAUAUAACGACGAUGACGAAGAUCGAUGAUGGUAGCGAUAAUCGCCAUCAUUAUCAUCAUCAUCAUUAACAUCAUCAUCAUCA